rnacentral:rRNA from 1 species
AUUGAACGCUGGCGGCAGGCCUAACACAUGCAAGUCGAACGAGUGGCGGACGGGUGAGUAAUGUCUGGGAAACUUGCUGAUGGAAGGGGCUCACUACGUUAACCGGUAGCUAAUACCGCAUACCAUCGGAUGUGCCCAGACUGGAUUAGCGAGUAGGGGGGGUAACGGCUCACCUAGGCGACGAGCCCUAGCUGGGCUGAGAGGAUGACCAGCCAGACGGGAAAUGAGACACGGUCCAGAUGCCGACGGGAGGCAGCAGUGGGGAAUAUUGCACAAUGGGCGAAAGUCUGAUGCAGCCAGGCCGCGUGUAUGAAGAAGGCCUUCGGGUUGUAAAGUACUUUCAGCGGGGAGGCGGUACCUGCAGAAGAAGCCCCGGCUAACUCCGUGCCAGCGGCCGCGGUAAUAC